CUUCCUCACUUUUUUUUUUCACUGCAGUUAGAUUUUUUGAUGUCUUUAGUGUUAUCAUGUUUAAAUUGGGAAAUCUGCCAAGAAAUGUGAUAGUUUAUCUGAAAGUUGAUUAUGCUUUCUAAUAUGCCAUGGACAAUGUACUUGAUAAAUAAAAUCUCCUCUCUCAUUUAAUAGUUGCAAUUAUCUCUCCUUGCAUGCAUGAGAGCACGUGCCUGCUAAAUUCUGGUGUAUGCCUUGUGUUUCUAGUAUGAUUUUUCAUUUGUCUGACUCUACUAACAUUUCAUGCUUCCUAAACUUGUUUAAAACCCAUCGAUUUUUUACUCAAACUUUGUACUAGUAUACGAGCUCUCAAUCAGAUUGCUGGUGCCAAGAUCUCUUAAGCGAAAUUGCCUGUCUGAAUUACAAGCCUCUAAGAAUCACCCUGUUUACAGCAUGUCGUUUGUUCUCGAAGGACAUUAGUUUUUAUGUUAAAUAGAAAAUACAACUGCUAAAGGUAUUGUUGAAGUAAAAAAAUUGAAGCCAUUGUUACCCCAGACACACUCCUCUUAAAUUUGAUGCAAGAAUUUUGCCAAGGUACAUGCCCCUUAAUAGAGCCUAGUUACUGUAAAUUAAAUCAAAUGGAGCACUUCGGAGAUAAUUUACUUCCAUGAAAACCUAUAUCGUGGAGUACAGACAUUUCUUAGAUUGCUAUUCUUUGGACUGAAAUGUAAACUUCCUGAACUAAAUAUAUUCUCCAAUCAGCGAACUUGUUUUUGCUUGGAUAGUAUCUUCUUUGGCAAAGUGCUUUGUCAAUUGGUUUGCUAAAUUAUCUCUCACACAACAUUUGGACAUUGUUUGCAAAUAGAAUCUGUCUCAAGUUUCAAGCUUUUGAGCUACGUGAAAAUGCAUAAUCAUUGACAAGUAUUGGCUGGUUUCCACAGAAAUUCCAUCUGCGUUUCCCCUUUUGAGUGUGUGCCUGAUUGAUGAUUGUUCCCAACUAUUUCCUUGUUUCUCCUUCAGUAAUGGGGAUUCUGGAUCAAAGGGUUUUAGAUGUUGGGGAGGUAUAAUGCCAUCAGAAGCAAUUUCUCUUCUGCAAGAUUAUUAUGAACCAGGAAAUCUGAAUGAUAUACUAAAUGCUGAUAUCUGGUUUUUAACUCCAAAGCCCCACAGAUCAUGGGUUACUCAGGCUUCUCAUUAGAUCUCUGUGCAUCGAUUCUUCCUAUUGAAUCCUCUCGUGCCUUUGCACAACUAGAUGUUCAUCAAGGGACCAGAGAAAUGAAGCAUCAUGCAUGUCCAAGUCAGCUUUUUGCCCAGAUGCUCAUGUGUUUACUGAGGGUUGUAAUUGUGAUGACAAGUCCAUUUCAUGCUUUAACUUAAGAUAAUUUAUGGCAUAACCCCCUACGUAGGCAUCACUUUUCUGAUGCUAAUUUUUGUCAUCUACAUAUUUUGCAAUGUGGCUUGAUUUUUCUUGAC